rnacentral:rRNA from 1 species
CCGUGGUGUCCAUUCCGGCCUACGGGAGGCAGCAGUGGGGAAUAUUGCACAAUGGGGGCAAGCCUGAUGCAGCCAUGCCGCGUGUAUGAAGAAGGCCUUCGGGUUGUAAAGUACUUUCAGCGGGGAGGAAGGCGUUCAUGUUAAUACCUGCAGCCGCGAUCAACGGCGCAUAGCCGCAG